GGGAAGGUGGCUCAGUGGUAGAGUGCUUGCCUUGCAUGCAUGAGGCCCGGGGUUCGAUUCCUCAGCCCCA
rnacentral:tRNA from 1 species